rnacentral:rRNA from 1 species
CCUGGGGUGCUGCAGUGGGGAAUAUUGGACAAUGGGCGAAAGCCUGAUCCAGCCAUGCCGCGUGUGUGAAGAAGGCCUUCGGGUUGUAAAGCACUUUCAGUGGGGAAGAAAGCCUUGGGGCUAAUACCCUCGAGGAAGGACAUCACCCACAGAAGAAGCACCGGCUAACUCCGUGCCAGCAGCCGCGGUAAUACGGAGGGUGCGAGCGUUAAUCGGAAUUACUGGGCGUAAAGCGCGCGUAGGCGGUCUGAUAAGCCGGUUGUGAAAGCCCCGGGCUCAACCUGGGAACGGCAUCCGGAACUGUCAGGCUAGAGUGCAGGAGAGGAAGGUAGAAUUCCCGGUGUAGCGGUGAAAUGCGUAGAGAUCGGGAGGAAUACCAGUGGCGAAGGCGGCCUUCUGGACUGACACUGACGCUGAGGUGCGAAAGCGUGGGUAGCAAACAGGAUUAGAUACCCCGGUAGUC